GGUGGCUCAGUGGUAGAGUGCUUGCCUUGAAUGCAUGAAGCCCUAGGUUCGAUUCCUCAGCACCA
rnacentral:tRNA from 1 species